UACAGAAGCUUCUUUCCAAAGAGACAUUAUAUAAGAUCAGAUUGAGCUCGAUCAAUUCUCAAGAUAAGUAUCAAUUUUGAUUUGGCUCCACUUUAGUCUUUUUUACUAAUAAUUUUUUGCUUUCUAGAUGUGAAGCUCGAGGAGCUUGGGGCAUUAUGCUACAUCCCUAAAAGAAAGAAGUUCUUGAACGAUGCUCCUAUCCCCAAGUGAGGCUGAGCCAAGGCUAUCCUUACCUAGCCCACCACCGGCUCUCC
rnacentral:lncRNA from 1 species